GAAUAUUGGACAAUGGGCGAAAGCCUGAUCCAGCCAUGCCGCGUGUGUGAAGUAGGUCUUUGGAUUGUAAAGCCCUUUAAGUCGGGCGGAAGGGCAUUAAGCGAAUAUCUUGCUGUUUUGCCGUUACCGACAGAAUAAGCACCGGCCAACUCUGUGCCAGCAGCCGCGGUAAUACAGAGGGUGAAAGCGUUAAUCGGAAUUACUGGGCGUAAAGCGCGCGUAGGUGGUUCGUUAAGUUUGAUGUGAAAUCCCCGGGCUCAACCUGGGAACUGCAUCCAAAACUGGGGAGCUAGAGUAGGGCAGAGGGAGGUGGAAUUACCAGUGUAGCGGUGAAAUGCGUAGAUAUAGGAAGGAAAACCAGUGGCGAAGGCGACCACCUGGGCUAAAACUGACACUGAGGUGCGAAAGCGUGGGGAGCAAACA
rnacentral:rRNA from 1 species